UCGGAUAUGGUGUAACGGCUAACAUUGCCGCCUCUCAUUAGUAGCAUCUUAACAAUGUAAAUUAAGUGCGCGGCAGCUCGGGGUUCGAUUCCCCGUAUCCGAA